rnacentral:ncRNA from 1 species
UUAUACAGGGGAGCUUUUGCUGAGAGGAAGUUCGACUUCGACCCUUAUACCUGAUUUGGGUAAUGCCAACGCAGGGAGGAGCUUG